ensembl:snoRNA SNORA77B small nucleolar RNA, H/ACA box 77B
GCAGACUCACUCUGUUCUUUGCUGCUCACUCCAGCCUAGAACUUUUUCUGUCUGCUACAUGAGCAUGCAGAAUGUAACACUUGACUGGCUUUCUCAAAGGCCGGUGUCACUAUGUUCUGCUACAUUACG